rnacentral:lncRNA from 1 species
AUGGCUCUAAACUAUUAUUGUUCAAAUCUCUUGUAUGUAAUGUCUUUAUUCUCUUAGGAGAGGCAGAUGGAUCAUUCUUUACCAGCUGCCAAGGCCAAUACUGCUGUAUAGCCCUUGCUCUCAGCAACGUCCUCAGUGUCCUGGUGAUGGGGUGCCUUGUAAGGACUGUGCAGAUCAAGCUUCAUACUACCUUUGCACUUCAGGCUCUCUGUGCUGAGGCAAUGAACAGACACCUGUACUUCUCACCAAUUUUGUCACAGAAGUCUUUCCAGUCCUGUCCCCUGCUCAAACAGAUUCUGCCUGAGCAUGUCUGAACAGUCGGCUAGAGCAACCA